GAGUGGACUCCUUCGGGAGGCAGCAGUGGGGAAUAUUGCGCAAUGGGGCAACCCUGAUGUAGCCAUGCCGCGUGAAUGAAGAAGGCCUUCGGGUUGUAAAGUUCUUUCGGUAGCGAGGAAGGCAUUUAGUUUAAUAGACUAGGUGAUUGACGUUAACUACAGAAGAAGCACCGGCUAACUCCGUGCCAGCAGCCGCGGUAAUACGGAGGGUGCGAGCGUUAAUCGGAAUAACUGGGCGUAAAGGGCACGCAGGCGGUGAAUUAAGUGAGGUGUGAAAGCCCCGGGCUUAACCUGGGAAUUGCAUUUCAUACUGGGUCGCUAGAGUACUGUAGGGAGGGGUAGAAUUCCACGUGUAGCGGUGAAAUGCGUAGGGAUGUGGAGGAAUACCGAAGGAGAAGGCAGCCCCUUGGGAAUGUACUGACGCUCAUGUGCGAAAGCGUGGGGAGCAAACAGGAUUAGAAACCCCGGUAGUCCUAUC
rnacentral:rRNA from 1 species